CAACAAAUUCCGAUUUCUUGAAAGAUAUUGUGUGAGAUAAAGUUCGAAAACAAUUUAAAUCAAGAUGAUGCGACAAUGCAAUGUGAUAUCUGGGCCUCCCAGAACUCGUUUGUCUACUAGACAGAAAUUAUUUCAUGGGCUUUUUCAAGCAUUCGUUUACUUAUCUCUCCCUUUUGGAACAAUAUACUUUAUACCUACCAUGAGGGAAAAACGAGGCGAAGAAAGAAUAAACGCUUGAAUUUUAAAGUCAAUUUUGUUAUUCUAAUUUAAUAAUUUACUUAAAUACUUAAUUCUAAUUAUAAAUUCUGAAAUAAAAAUUUGAGCAGUAAA